rnacentral:rRNA from 1 species
AUGCAGAAGUUCUUCCAGGCGCAGAGCCGGGUGUGGGUCAUGACGCUCAUCUCCGGCGCCUUCGUCGCCGUGCACGCGCUGCUCAACUGGGUCGUCGUCGACGUAGCCAGGCUCCGUCGCGGCCUCGUCGGGGCGGCCGUGGUGGGCAACGUGUCGUGGUGGCUCCUCGGUUCGGCGCAGUUCGCGUACGUCAUCGGCGGGUCCUUCCCGGAGGCGUGGAGAGGGUUCUCGCGGAAGGCGCUCGCCAGCCUCGGCGGCUUCGUCACGUUCUCCCUCGCGUCGCCCGUCAUGCUGUGGUUCGUAUCUUCUUUCUCGGCCAAUUAUGGAUGA